rnacentral:rRNA from 1 species
AGUGGGGAAUAUUGGACAAUGGGCGAAAGCCUGAUCCAGCCAUGCCGCGUGUGUGAAGAAGGUCUUCGGAUUGUAAAGCACUUUAAGUUGGGAGGAAGGGUUGUAACCUAAUACGUUGCAAUUUUGACGUUACCGACAGAAUAAGCACCGGCUAACUUCGUGCCAGCAGCCGCGGUAAUACGAAGGGUGCAAGCGUUAAUCGGAAUUACUGGGCGUAAAGCGCGCGUAGGUGGUUUGUUAAGUCUGAUGUGAAAGCCCACGGCUCAACCGUGGAGGGUCAUUGGAAACUGGGAGACUUGAGUGCAGAAGAGGAUAGUGGAAUUCCAAGUGUAGCGGUGAAAUGCGUAGAGAUUUGGAGGAACACCAGUGGCGAAGGCGGCUUUUUGGUCUGUAACUGACGCUGAGGCGCGAAAGCGUGGGGAGCAAACAGGAUUAGAUACCCGGG